rnacentral:RNase_P_RNA from 1 species
GUGCAACAGAGAGCAAACCGCCGAUGGCCCGCGCAAGCGGGAUCAGGUAAGGGUGAAAGGGUGCGGUAAGAGCGCACCGCGCGGCUGGUAACAGUCCGCGGCACGGUAAACUCCACCCGGAGCAAGGCCAAAUAGGGGUUCAUAAGGUACGGCCCGUACUGAACCCGGGUAGGCUGCUUGAGCCAGUGAGCGAUUGCUGGCCUAGAUGAAUGACUGUCCACGACAGAACCCGGCUUAUCGGUCAGUUUCACCU